GUUAAGGUGGCAGAACCCGGUAUUGCAAAAGAUUUAAGCCCUUUUAAUGGAGGCUCAAAUCCUCCCCUUAACU
rnacentral:tRNA from 1 species